UACGUAGGGGGCAAGCGUUGUCCGGAAUCAUUGGGCGUAAAGAGCGUGUAGGCGGUCCGGUAAGUCGGCUGUGAAAGUCCAGGGCUCAACCCUGGGAGGCGGGUGGAUACUGCUGAGCUCGAGUCCGGAAGAGGCGAGUGGAAUUCCUGGUGUAGCGGUGAAAUGCGCAGAUAUCAGGAGGAACACCAAUGGCGAAGGCAGCUCGCUGGGACGGUACUGACGCUGAGACGCGAAAGCGUGGGGAGCAAACAGG
rnacentral:rRNA from 1 species